UACGUAGGGGGCAAGCGUUGUCCGGAUUUAUUGGGCGUAAAGAGCGUGUAGGCGGCCAAGUAAGUCUGCUGUGAAAACUCGAGGCUUAACCUCGAGCUGUCGGCGGAAACUAUUUGGCUAGAGUCCGGAAGAGGAGAAUGGAAUUCCCGGUGUAGCGGUGAAAUGCGCAGAUAUCGUAAGGAAGACCAGUGGCGAAGGCGGGUCUCUGGACAGUUCCUGACGCUGAGGCACGAAGGCCAGGGGAGCAAACGGG
rnacentral:rRNA from 1 species